rnacentral:rRNA from 1 species
AGAGUAUGAUAGAGAAAGCAGAAUUUCUAGUGUAGAGUGAAAUUCGUAGAUAUUAGAAAGAAUACCAAUUGCGAAGGCAGCUUUCUGGAUCAUUACUGACACUGAGGAACGAAAGCAUGGGUAGCGAAGAGGAUUAGAUACCCUCGUAGUCCAUGCCGUAAACGAUGUGUGUUAGACGUUGGAAAUUUAUUUUCAGUGUCGCAGGGAAACCGAUAAACACACCGCCUGGGGAGUACGACCGCAAGGUUAAAACUCAAAUGAAUUGACGGGGACCCGCACAAGUAGUGGAGCAUGUGGUUUAAUUCGAAGAUACGCGCAGAACCUUACCAACACUUGACAUGUUCGUCGCGACUCUAAGAGAUUAGAGUUUUCGGUUCGGCCGGACGAAACACAGGUGCUGCAUGGCUGUCGUCAGCUCGUGUCGUGAGAUGUUGGGUUAAGUCCCGCAACGAGCGCAACCCUCACUUUUAGUUGCCAUCAUUAAGUUGGGCACUCUGAAAGAACUGCCAGUGAUAAGCUGGAGGAAGGUGGGGAUGACGUCAAGUCCUCAUGGCCCUUACGUGUUGGGCUACACACGUGCUACAAUGGUAUCUACAACAGGAAGCAAGACUGCGAAGUUAAGCAAAUCCCUAAAAGAUACCUCAGUUCGGAUUGCACUCUGCAACUCGAGUGCAUGAAGCUGGAAUUACUAGUAAUCGUGGAUCAGCGUGCCACGGUGAAUGCGUUCCCGGGUCUUGUACACACCGCCCGUCACACCAUGGGAGUUGGUUCUACCUUAAGGCAAGGUUUCAAACCCUUGACCACGGUAUAGUCAGCGACUGGGGUGAAGUCGUAACAAGGUAGCCGUAGGGGAACCUGCGGCUG